GUAUUGUAUUAAUUGUCAUGACAUUAUUUAUUAAUGUGGUCUGUAAUUUUUGGACAGAGCCUGGAAGACUGCGUUUGAAUAACAGUUCAGACCAUUGGCCAAGUGUGCCAGUUCUAAUGAAUUUAUAACGCAAACUGUGCUCGACUUGGAACGCAAAACAUUUUUGCUACUGUUGUACCUUUGGCGUGUUGAACGGCCAUGCUGUGCUUAAUUUUUGUUUAAGCGGUGUCUUCUCUUCACCAAAAAAGAUUGCAUUUUAUAUUGACGGCCAUUGUCUUUGUUCUAUUCUUGGUGACGUUUUGCUGCCGGACACAAAGUGAAGAACAGUGUUGUUUGCUCUCCGGGUUCAUUCAAAACGACUGCAGAAUUUUCCAUAAAUCGUACUUUAACAUUAGUUUCGAAUAAUAUUUUGUUUUUUGUUAUUCCCCACGUGGAAAGUUAUAUAGAAUUUUUGUAAUAUACUCAUUGUUCUUAUGUGGAAA